rnacentral:rRNA from 1 species
UACGUAGGGGGGCUAGCGUUGUCCGGAAUCAUUGGGCGUAAAGCGCGUGUAGGCGGUCCGGUAAGUCCGCUGUGAAAGUCGGGGGGCUCAACCCUCGAAUGCCGGUGGAUACUGUCGGGCUAGAGUGCGGAAGAGGCGAGUGGAAUUCCUGGUGUAGCGGUGAAAUGCGCAGAUAUCAGGAGGAACACCAAUGGCGAAGGCAGCUCGCUGGGACGGUACUGACGCUGAGGCGCGAAAGCGUGGGGAGCAAACAGG